rnacentral:rRNA from 1 species
UGCGGAAGGAUCAUUAAAGAUUCUGGGCCCUUACCUGCCCAUYCUGUUCAGCUGUGCGCUUCGGCUGCACGCUGGAAUGCAACACCUCACACCUGUGCACCAUUUCGGUUGCGGCUUCGGCCGUGGCCGCUUCAAAUGCAACUACUCAGUCUCGAAUGUCAACAAAACUAUAAAAAUUGUAACAACUUUCAACAACGGAUCUCUUGGCUCUCGCAUCGAUGAAGAACGCAGCGAAAUGCGAUAAGUAAUGUGAAUUGCAGAAUUCAGUGAAUCAUCGAAUCUUUGAACGCAUCUUGCGCUCCUUGGUAUUCCAUGGAGCAUGCCUGUUUGAGUGUCACGUAAAACCUCACCCUUGCGAUGUAACAGUCGCACUGCGGUGGACUUGGGGACUGUGCCGUUACCGGCUCGUCUUGAAAUGCAUUAGCUGGCGCUUUUAGAGUGCUGGGCGACGGUGUGAUAAUUAUCUGCGCCAAUGCCCUGGGCCUCUUCAGCGGUGCUGCUUACAGUCGUCCCUCCGCGGACAACUAAUAUCUAAAGCAA